rnacentral:rRNA from 1 species
AUUGAACGCUAGCGGGAUGCUUUACACAUGCAAGUCGAACGAGUGGCGGACGGGUGAGUAAUAUAUCGGAACGUGCCCAGUAGCGGGGGAUAACUACUCGAAAGAGUGGCUAAUACCGCAUACUAUGGGAGCGGCCGUUAUCGGAUUAGCUAGUUGGUGGGGUAAAGGCUCACCAAGGCAACGAUGCGUAGCUGGUUUGAGAGGACGACCAGCCACACUGGGACUGAGACACGGCCCAGACUCCUACGGGAGGCAGCAGUGGGGAAUGUUCGACAAUGGACGAAACCCUGACCCAGCCAUCCCGCGUGUAUGAGAAGGCUUUCGGGUUGUAAAGUACUUUUGGCAGAGAAGCGGUAUCUGCCGAAUAAGCCCCGGCUAACUACGUGCCAGCCGCCGCGGUAAUUC